rnacentral:rRNA from 1 species
UGAGGAAUAUUGGUCAAUGGGCGAGAGCCUGAACCAGCCAAGUAGCGUGAGGGAAGACUGCCCUAUGGGUUGUAAACCUCUUUUGAUUGGGAACAAAGAGCGCCACGUGUGGUGCGUUGCGUGUACCUUUCGAAUAAGCAUCGGCUAACUCCGUGCCAGCAGCCGCGGUAAUACGGAGGAUGCGAGCGUUAUCCGGAUUCAUUGGGUUUAAAGGGUGCGUAGGUGGCUUGUUAAGUCAGCGGUGAAAGUCAGUGGCUCAACCAUUGAAUUGCCGUUGAAACUGGCGAGCUUGAGUACGUACGGGGCAGGCGGAAUGCGUGGUGUAGCGGUGAAAUGCAUAGAUAUCACGCAGAACCCGAU